GGCCAGCUCCUCCGCUCCCUCCCUCUCUUCCUCUCUCUCUCUCUCUCUCUCUCUGCCUCACCCUUUGUAAUUAGCAAGAUGAUUAGCUCGAUGAUUUAUGCUCCGACUUUGCAGUCUCACGGGAGAGAGAGAGAGAGAGAGGGUGAGAGAGCAAGAGUGCGAGCGAGUUAAG
rnacentral:miRNA from 1 species